AUUUUAUUUUUCUUACAUAAGUAAUACUUUUUAUUUUUGAAAUCUUAGAAACUAUAGUUAAACAAUCAGAAGAGAACUGAAAAUAUCUAUGAUUACCACUGCACCAUUGACAUUGAUUUGUAUAACUUCCAGGUCCUUCUGAGAAUACGUUUUGAUGUAGGCAUAACAUUAUUAAGUAGAUAAGCUUCACAUUCUUAUACUGAGAAGAUCCCCUGGAAAAUAUGGGGGUUAGAAGAAAAAACAAAUGCUUUUGGGUAGAUACGUUUCAGCAGCAUUAAUAUCAAACUGACUGUUCACAAAAGUUCUGCCACUUGAAUAUCGCUUUAGCCAUUUUUUGCAAAACAAUAAAAAAAAAAAGAAAGAAAGAAAGAACGAGAAAAAAGAGAAAGUGUGUGCCGUGUGUGCCAGGCUGCUGUGAUGCAAAUACCGUCAGUCGACAUAAAGUAAUGGCCAGAAUGAAAACCCCAAACACAUAUGGCUGGUAGAAUAUCUGUGGCUAAUAAUUAUUUUUAGGGUUUUUUUUUUUUGAGAGAGAGAGCGCACACACGCAUAAAUAAAACAUUGAAAAAUAACAGUAAGUCCUUUUGAACUUACUUUGCUUAAGAAGUAGUGGACCAAAGGGAAGCAUUCAAAUAUCAUGUGGAUUGAAUCUAAACCAAACUCAUAGUCCUUGUGAAUUUCUGCUCUGAGGAUCUGUGAGACUGAAGCAGGGUUUUCCACAUUUGCAGAGAUAGAUGAAGGGUUUCUGGGUCGUGCUGUGAGCGUAACCGGUCAUCAGAGGAAGUGGUACAGUCUGUCCGUAGGCUAGAACACACAGAGCGAUCUCUACGUGUACUUUGUAUCUGGUGCCGCAAAGGCUUUAGGGAUAUGGGGUGAACAACACAGAAAUGCAUUCCACCCUCCUUGAGUUCACUGUCUAGUGAGAUGACCAUUAAACAAACAAGUACUUAGUCCCAAAGGAGAACAAAUGACUUCAGUAGUGAAUAACUGAAGAGCCAAUCUUUGUCUCCAAGCUUCAGAUGAAACCUCCCGGAGGAUCCAGUGGAAUGCCAAAGGUGAAGGAGGAGUUGGUCCCCACCUCAGCCCUUCCCCGGGACUUCUGGCAAGAGGCAACAGAACACCGAAGGCUCAGAGGCAGACAUUCACAAAACUAUAGGGAGACCUCUGUGGCUAAAGAAUAAGUGAAGGAGAGGCGGAGAGCUACGCCCUCUGAAGGAGCCUGAUCAAAAGUGUGAAAGGAAGACCAGUCGUGUUCUCAAUUUCUUCAUUUCCAGGGAAGAGGUAAGCCUUCAAUUUGUAAUCAGGGGAUCGUCCUGACACCGAGAACUUCUCCAUCUCACUGACAUGCCUCCGUUGAUGCUGGAAUUGUUUCCUUAAAGAAACAUCAUGCCUAUCUCUACAUGGGUCCACGCAGGUUUCAAGCAGAAUAGAGUAUUUUAUUAGUCUUCAUAAAUCUAAAUGGAAUAACCAGGACCCACAAGUAGAAGCUCCAGUCAUGCCUAUUCAUUCCUUGGACUUAAUAAAAGGGAUACAUCCCUGGAAAUUCAAGCUGUCCAACAAAUGAAUGAGCCGUCUGGCAAGAUCUGACACAAGUGUGCACUGGCCUGGAUCCGCCUCCUCUUGGUUAAGGAGCCAUCUCUACCGUCAUCCUCUGUCCUGGGCAGUGGCAAGUGUGGAUUUUCUUAGCCCAGGCCAGCUGAGCUCAGACACCAGCGUUAUCUGCGGAGACCGACCCCAACCUGCUCUUGGCACGCCGAGAUGUUGACAACACCUCUUCUUCUGCUGCUGGAAACAGAUACAGUCUGCAAACACCAUCACACCAUCAUGAGAAUUCUCUCGGCCUCUUCCCACACCACGGACCCAUCCACACAGCAUUACCAUCAGGCAGGCAAGCUGAGGCAGCAAGAAUUUGCUUAUGCUGACAGCCGACGCGUGGGUGGGUAGGCACCGUGCCCUAGAAGCAAGCACUAUUAAGGCUUAAGGAUGCAGGCUUCAAUUUAUAUAUUUGUAUAAGAUCAACCCCCCUCCUUCCUUUGUUCUGUCUCUGCGCUCCCUCAUUUCCCUUGAAUCUCUUUCAUGAUGGUGGUACAAUAGUACCUACUCCAGGGUGCUGUUAGGCAAGGAUUUCUACUUCUUCCCAUUAGCAGUUCAUUGUUCCGUAGGUUUUAGGUGUUCCUGUGCCCUGCUAGCCUGAGGACACCAGAAACUGUUCCAAUGGUGACUUCUACCAGUUAGUGUUUACUACAUAACAAAUUGCCCCUUGAUGGCUUAAAAUAACAACCAGUUUUUAGCUCACAACUCUGCCGUUUGGCCAUUUGGACUGAGUGCAUGUAGAUAGUUCUGGCUGGGGAUUCGCUGGUUGAAGGGCCUCAGUUGAAACGGCUUAUCUCUACUUUGCACGGUUUCUCAUCUUCCAGCAGGCUAUCUCAGAAUGGUCACCUGGUGACUGCAGUUUUCCAAGAACAAAACAUCGGAAGUUGCAAGGCCUCUUCCCCCACCCCUAGUUUUGUUGAGAAAUAAUUGGCAUAUAUCAUUAUAUAAGUUCAAGGUGUAGCACAUGAUGGUUUAACUUGCAUAUGUCAUGAAAUGAGCACCACAAUAGGUUUAGUUAAUAUCCAUCUUCUCAUAUAGAUACAAUAAAAAGAAAAAAAUUCUGACGACGAGUGUUCUUAGGAUUUACCGUCUUAACGAUUUUCCUAGAUAUCAUCCAGCAGCGUAGCUAAAGUCAUCAUGUACAUUACAUCCCUAGUGCUUACCUAUCUUACUACUGGAGGUUUGUACCUUCUGACCACCAAUUCCCUCUCCCUUCCCUCUUGCCUCAAGCAGCUACAAGGCUUUUUCCAUAUCUCUUUUCUUACGAGUUUGAUUUUUUAAAAUUUUUCAUUAGAGUCUACGUAUAAGUGAGAUCAUACAGGAUUUGUCUAUCUCUGACUUAUUUCACUUAGCAUAAUUUCUUCAAAGUCCAUCCGUGUGUUGUAGAUGAUAAGACUUCCUUUUUUAUGGCUUACUAACCUUCCAUUUUACACACACACACACACAC